AAAGACAAGGAGAAGGAGAAGGAAAGAGAAAGAGAAAAAGAAAAGGAAAAAGAAAAAGAAAAGCGUUUUUCCUCUUCAGCCUCUUUCUCUCCUCUUCUUUCUUCUUCUUCUCUCCCUCUUUCUCC
rnacentral:ribozyme from 13 species